UUAGAUACCCUGUUAUACUAACAAAAGCCUAGAGUAUUGUUAGAAAAAAUAGAUCCUUUAAAUUUAAAGAAUUUGGCGGUAAUUUAGUCUUGUCAGAGGAACCUGUGUUAUAAUCGAUAAUCCACGAAGAAUCUUACUUGUCUUUGAAAGAUGCAAGCUUAUAUACCAUCAUUAUCAGAUAAUUUUUAUAAAAUUUAAUUAUUAUUAUUUAAAUAAGAUUAAAUAAAAUUAGAUCAAGGUGUAGCUUAUAGACAAGUUAACAUGGGUUACAAUAAAAUUUAUUUAUAUUAUGAAUUAGUUUAUGAAAUUAAUAUUAUGAAGGAGGAUUUGAUUGUAAUUAAAUUUUAGUAAGAUUUAAAGAUAUAAGCUCUAAAUUAUGUACAUAUCGCCCGUCGCUA
rnacentral:rRNA from 1 species